ACGGCUCAGUAACACNUGGACUAAUCUGCCCUUGGGACCCGGAACACCCCCGGGAAACUGGGGCUAAUUCUCGAUAGGUGAAGAACUCUGGAAUGAGUCUUUGCCAAAAAGACGUUUACGUUAUGCUCGUAGGCGUCGCCCAAGGAUGAGGCCGCGACCGAUCAGGUUGUUGGUGAGGUAAUGGCUCACCAAGCCUUUUACCGGUGCGGGCCGUGAGAGCGGGAGCCCGGAGAUGGGCACUGAGACAAGGGCCCAGGCCCUACGGGGCGCAGCAGUCGCGAAAACUUUGCAAUACACGAAAGUGUGACAGGGCUAUCCCGAGUGCCAUCCGCUGAGGAAGGCUUUUACCCAGUCUAGAACGCUGGGGGAAUAAGGAGAGGGCAAGUCUGGUGUCAGCCGCCGCGGUAAUACCAGCUCUCCGAGUGGUGUGGAUGUUUAUUGGGCCUAAAGCAUCCGUAGCUGGCUAAGUUAGUCCCCUGUUAAAUCCACCGAAUUAAUCGUUGGAUUGCGGGGGAUACUGCUUGGCUAGGGGACGAGAGAGGCAGACGGUAUUUCCGGGGUAGGGGUGAAAUCCUAUAAUCCCGGGAAGACCACCAGUGGCGAAGGCUGUCUGCUAGAACGCGCCCGACGGUGAGGGAUGAAAGCUGGGGGAGCGAACCGGAUUAGAUACCCGGGUAGUCCCAGCUGUAAACGAUGCAGGCUAGGUGUUUGGACGGCCACGUGCCGUUCUAGUGCCGCAGGGAAGCUGUUAAGCCUGCCGCCUGGGGAGUACGAUCGCAAGAUUGAAACUUAAAGGAAUUGGCGGGGGAGCAC
rnacentral:rRNA from 1 species